rnacentral:tRNA from 4 species
GGUCCUAUAGCUCAGCGGAUAGAGCACUCGUUUCCUAAACGAGGUGUCGGAAGUUCAAUUCUUCUUAGGGCCGUCA